UUAGCAGACAAACUUGGAAAGAAAUCCCAAAAAUCCUUCACACUCUACAACCUUCAAAUCCUCCAUAUACAGCAAACCAAUAUCAUAUGUCACUCUUAUCCCUUUCUUCAUAUACACCUUUACUUCUCCCUUUAUAAUUUCAGAAUAAAUAUCAUAUAUUGAUAGUAGCAGAAUCUAUCCUCAUAUAGACGUGUUUGGCUCCCGAUUCCCCACGUAGACUCCAAUCCUCAGGAUGGAUGAAGGUCAUUAUAGGAUGUUGUGCGGACAUUAGCUUCUGUUGCUUCGCCCUUCUUAAGGGAUAAUAUCUUC